GGGGCCCAGGGGAGGGCGCCACCUCCCCGUCGGGAACGAUGACCCUCUAGGGGGCAUGGAACUCGCGGGGAGGGAGUGGCCUCGCCCUUGAAGACGAAAGGCUCCUUCAAAAGGCGGGCGAGGGGCCGGGGGCGGUAGCUCACACCUGUCAUCCCAGCACUUGCGGAGGCCGAGGUGACUGGAACUGAUUUGACAUAACCAUCGUAUGCAUGGAGAAGCUGAGAACAGUAAUCUGCAGAAGCAAAAGUAUGAAACAGCCGGGCAAAGAUGCACAGAAACAGAAGCAAGGAAGGGGUCAAAGCAUCGUAGAACCACAGAUGUGAAAGAAUUGCGGAGAGGACGUUCUCCAGGAGGGACAUCAUUAACUCAACCCGGGCGAGAGACUAGGCUCUGACCAGGCUUUCCAACCCACGCAGCUUCAGCUUCCAUCAAGCCCAUCCUAACCACAACGAACACAAGGCAAGGCAAACAAGCAAAACAUAAUAAAGAUCAGAGAGAAUACAGAAAGACUGUGGAUUCUGCUGGCUCUUUUGUUUCUUUAUAAGAAAAGGUGCCCAUGAGGGGAGCGGAACAGGUGUAUGCUCUCACUUAGUAUAA